UUAAUAUGUUUUAUUACAGUUUGUGUUAGCAAAAAAGCACUCCCUUUGCAUUACAGUAGUGCAGGCUAGGCUCUCUUGUGCACAGUGAUGUGUUUUUUGUGUCUCUGCAGCAAGUAUCCCCACAAGUGAGACAGAGUCUGUGAACACAGAGAAGCCAGGAGAAGAUGAGAAAGUCUGCUGUGGGCCCAUCUGUCAGAAAUUGACAAAGUCGAAGUUCAGCCGCUGGCGUUGCUGGAACAGGUUUUGUCACCGGAAGUGCCGAGCUGUGGUGAAAUCCACCCUCUUCUAUUGGCUGGUGAUUCUGCUGGUGUUCCUCAAUACACUCACAAUAUCAUCCGAACAUUAUAACCAACCCGACUGGCUCACGGAA